rnacentral:lncRNA from 1 species
AGUCUUAAAUGCCCUAUAGCCUCCUGCUUAUAAGUGUGGUGCAUGACACACCCAUAAAUAAGACUCUACUAGACACGGCUUGUAGACUCCCUAGGACAGAACUGCUCUGAUACCACUUUUGUCAUGACCCAAACCGAUGGGCCACGACGGGCACCCGGUACCUUACUCAACCGAGUACCAAUGUAACGUAUCUUUCAUAUUACAUCAUCAUAUACACGUGACAUACGAGCCUAAUAGGCCAACAUUAUUAUUUACAAACUCAAAACAAAGGACGACAAGGCUGUACAAUCUUUUAUAUACACGACAUAUGUCUACAAGCCUCUAAGAGUACAUAAAUGUCAUAAAGGUCAGGACAGAGUCCCGCCUUACCAAACAAUACACGUCUAAAUCAUACUAACCAAACGAGCAACUCCGAAGUAAAUGGAGUGCACCAACAUCUUUCGCUGAGCUGAUAGCCUACUUGGAGGGCUCUCGACCUGUCUAUCGGGACCUGCGGGCAUGAAAUGCAGCAUCCCCAAGCAAAAGGGACGUCAGUACGAAUAAUGUACCGAGUAUGUAAGGCACAUAAAUAAAUACAUAAGAGGCAUGAAAGACAUAUAGAGUACAUGACUUAACCUGUAAGUCUGAAUAACUUUGUAAAUCAUAAAUUACUUUGAGCGUCGUGCAUAUGCGAAUGAAUGUCAUGUCGUGCAUAGGUACAUAUUUCAUAACAUCAUCAACCUCUGAGGGCAUCCCAUCAUAUCAUAUCGGCCACUGUAGGAAAAAUCAUCAUCGUAGACCAGCUGAUCAGGUGGUGGUGCGUAUAUAACGUCAUAACCUUUCCCAUAUCCAUAUACAUAUAUACAUACAUAUAUAUGCGUAUAUAACGUCG